rnacentral:rRNA from 14 species
CCCUGCCCUGAAUGUAUAGGGGUGUGGGUGGUAACGCGGGGAAGUGAAACAUCUUAGUACCCGUAGGAAGAGAAAACAAGUGUGAUUCCGUGAGUAGUGGCGAGCGAAAGCGGAGGAGGCUAAACCGUGUGUGUGUUCAAGCCGGCAGGUGUUGCAUGUGCGGGGUUGUGGGGGCCUUGUGGUUCUGCUGCCGCAGGAUUGGCCAGUGAGAAAUGUUGCGUGAAGGUGAAGCGUCUGGGAAGGCGUACCGGAGUGGGUGAGAGUCCUGUAACUGUAAGCGUGGCACUGGUGUGGGGUUGCCCCGAGUAGCGUGGGACUCGUGGAAUUUCGCGUGAAUCUGGCGGGACCACCCGUCAAGCCUAAAUACUCCUUGGUGACCGAUAGUGGAUGAGUACCGUGAGGGAAGGGUGAAAAGUACCCCGGGAGGGGAGUGAAAGAGUUCCUGAAACCGGUCGC